AUGUCAUGGGAGGAGAGAGCUGACAUCUCCAAGUUACCUCUGAUUCUCACUUUUAGGUGAUCUUAUGUGCCCACCCCGUACAGACCCAUGUAUAGAUCCAUGCACAGAAAAUAAGUAAAAAUCUCAGACAAAGAAUAUUUCUUUUUUUUUUUUUUUUCAUAAACCUAGUGAGCAUCCUGGGGUGUGGGAUAAUCUCAAGUACAGUGGUCUUCGACUUUAGGACACAGAAAAGGUACCUGGAAAACCUUAAACAACAGAUGUAUUCAGUCAGUUGUUUUAGAUAAAUCCCAGGAUCAGUUGAUCAUGGCCGAAGUUAUGUGAAAGGAACCAUUUGAGAACUAUCUUCUACCAUAUGCUGAUUUCCUGUCGUUAAUGUAAGUGUUUCACCAGAACAGUGGCACGCACAUUUAUUCAUGGUCUGUUCACUCAUACAUCAUAGUAAAAUAAAUGUAUUGUUAUUACUCAGGCAUAUACACAUAUUUAUAUAUAAAAUGUUCAAAAAUCUUAUGACCAUCAUUUUAUGUGAACUCUGAUCUUAUAAACUACCUUCUGACAUGUUUUGUUUUGUUUUUUAAUCUGGUGAUGAUCCAAUAAAUUGGCCUAUGACUGAAAAAAAGUAAGACUCAAGUGGAAAAAAAGGCUGUUUCCUGUUGUUUAGGGUGCAGCCACUGAGCAUGGCUCCUCAGGGCAGUAGUUGAGAGAGUAUGUGACAAAAUCUUGUGGACUCUACCUUGGAAAUUUCCAAUUUAACAAAUGCAUUGGAUCUUUUAUUUUUCUUUUUAUGUGACUCAAGAAUAAACUGUAUGUUUAUGGUCUAACUGCCAUAAAAAUCAAACAUAAAUGUCCCGUGAAAGAAUUAUUUUUAUCAGUGAAAUAGGCUUAUCUCCUCUAAGCACAAUGUUGAAUUUGUACCAAUAUACAAAGCAUGGUAACUUUUUAUGCUGAACAGUAAAUGAGUUGCUUUAACACUCUUUCAUGGUAUGGUAUGUUAUACUUUGAUUGUAUUUCAUUUUUUACAGGCCCAGAAAAAUGAUACAGUAUUAAAUGUAUACACAUAGUCUAUAGUUUUUAUCAAUAUAGGAAACUAAAUAUUUAAUAUAGAUAUUUAUGCCAUGUAAUACAGCAAUAUUUAUACUUCUCUGUUGAAAAAUAGCUUGAGAGAGAUUUUUGUUUACACAAAUUGUAUGGGUUCUUUCCACUGUUGUUAUAAUGGACCCUGAUUUUAUCUAUGUAGGUUACAAAAAAUGCAAUUAAAAUUAAUAGUAGUGUGAUACAGUUAGAACAAGAGGCAUUCCAGUCUUCAGGGGAUAAAUGCAUCCCCAUUAUCAUUUAUUAUUCUCAUGAUUCUUGUUAAAAUGUGAAAAUAAAUAGAAAAGGUAGAUCGUACAGGCAUUUCCAUUAUUUUUGAUGUCACAGACACAUAGUUUAAUGUUUUCAUAAUGGCCAACCUAUAUACAAUUAUAAUUCCAUAUUCAAGAGAUAUAAUAUUUUUAUAGAAAUAAUUUAAAUAUGUCAUAAGAGCAUGUUAAUAAUCCUGACAAUUAAUUUUUCAAGCAUUUACUUGUAUGUGGCCAAGGCAAGUCAACAAUUUAUUUUACUUUUUUGCUACUUCUGGUUUUUAAAAGAUGUUGCAUGUAUACACUGAACUAGUCUUGUGCUAGCUGACCUUGUUCAGAAUAUCUGAUUAACUCUGGACAUAAAAUUCUUUCUGCUUACUCUAGAGGCAACAGAGAUGAUCAGAGCAUGAAAUAAUUAAAGCAUCAAUGGUUAGGUCAAAUGUUAAGAAUGCCGUUGAAACUGUAAUCAGGAGAUUGGGGUUGUAAGUUCCCAAUAUGUUAAUACCCUUUGACUAAUUUUGCUUAUGUUCAAAGAAGAAGGACAGCAGACAUAUGAUGGCUAUAUAGUUAGUCCAGAGGCCAAAAUAAUGUAACUCAGUUGUUUUUUUACUAUUCAGUAAUUUAACAUGGAAUUACAUAGGUAGGUAUACAAAUGUGCCUAUACACAUAAAUACAUACACCCACAGGUGUAAUUGUAUGUUCUCACACACACACACACACACACACACACAUAUGUGUGUGUAUAUAUAUAUACAUAUAUAUGUGUGUAAAUAUGUAUACACAUAUGUGUAUGCAUUAUUAAGCAUGAUAACAUAUACUUUGCCUCAUACUACUAUAGAUGAAUAUUUCAAAAGUCACAGUCAGGGGAUUUCCAUGAAAAAUGCAGAAAAAUUUAUGCUUAUAUGGAAAAAGAAUAAAAGAAAUGAAAAUGCAUUUUUUCUUUUACUUGUAAUUAUGAAACUUAAAGUCUGUUUGUUCUUGGCAAGGAGUUCCUGCCUUCCUGCUCUGUUGCAGUUCCUGUGAGGAUCAAUGGUCAUACUGAUCCCAGUUCGUUCAAACUUGUCAGCCUCUGCAAUGUUAUAAUGCUCCUGGACUCUCAAUGAUGACGAAAGGAAUGUAGAUCACGUCUACACGCAUUCCAUGCCUGUGCUGAGACCUGGCAUGUAUUACUACCCAUUACAUAGACUUGUAAAUGUUCUGUGCCAAAUGUUUCUUCAGCUGCUGGCCUUUAAUGCCCACGUUCUUAGUUGUCUUUAUUACAACAAAUGGCCCCUAUUCUCAAAGUUUCAACCACUGUCUCCACGCUCACAGCAGGCUUUCCUAGCAACAUGAACCUCCUCCACAAAUAUCUUGCAAUUCUGAAUUUCUCCUCUCAAAUAGCCUCUUCAUGACCACACAGAAUAAAUAAGCUCCUUCUGGCUAAAAUUUACUGGUCAUGUUUCCUCUUGGAAAAGGGGACUUUGCCUAACAGUGGGACUCACUGGUGGAUAUCCUGGAACAUGAGAACAAUCUUCACCAAAAGGGGUUUCAAGGAGUUCUCAAGAAAGCUUUUAGAUUAAUGAUUUUUCCCUUCUAACAUCUGUCCAACAGUUUUUAAACUGCUGGGACCAAAAUUUUUUGAAUUACUUUGUCAUAAAUAACAUCAGAGGAGUUCAAGAUGAUUCUACCUUUGAAAUCACUGAGUCAGUAUUCUAAAAAGAGCUAGAAAGGUAAUUGCAACUGUCUGUCUUGUAAUAAUGGAAAAACGCACAGAGAGAGAGGGCACAGAGUAGACGUUUUAUAGGGCAUACUUGAAAAAUAAAAUAAAAGUGAUUAGAGAAUGCAUGUAACCUUUGUGUGAGUUUGAGUUGAAGGUUAUUUUCAUUCUCCUUCCACUUCUGAAUUCCUUGUAACAGUGGGAAAGUUACCUCUUCUUUUGCCUUCAGAGCCAAUUUAAAAGACAAGGAGAUCAAUGUCCUUUCUAGUUACUCCUUAUUUUUGCUGAAAGCUGAUUAGUCAGCGCGAUCACUAGACUAUUCAGAGAAGUAGCUUCCAUUGACAUCUAACUGAUUCCACAGAAAGGAAUCUACGCUGAAGAAUGAACACACUUUGUUAAUAAGCAUUUCAAAUU
rnacentral:lncRNA from 1 species